rnacentral:rRNA from 1 species
GAUGAACGCUGGCGGCGUGCUUAACACAUGCAAGUCGAACGAAGCACCUUGAUUUGAUUCUUCGGAUGAAGAUCUUGGUGACUGAGUGGCGGACGGGUGAGUAACGCGUGGGUAACCUGCCUCAUACAGGGGGAUAACAGUGAGAAAUGACUGCUAAUACCGCAUAAGACCACAGUACCGCAUGGUACAGGGGUAAAAACUCCGGUGGUAUGAGAUGGACCCGCGUCUGAUUAGGUAGUUGGUGGGGUAACGGCCUACCAAGCCGACGAUCAGUAGCCGACCUGAGAGGGUGACCGGCCACAUUGGGACUGAGACACGGCCCAAACUCCUACGGGAGGCAGCAGUGGGGAAUAUUGCACAAUGGGGGAAACCCUGAUGCAGCGACGCCGCGUGAGCGAUGAAGUAUUUCGGUAUGUAAAGCUCUAUCAGCAGGGAAGAAAAUGACGGUACCUGACUAAGAAGCACCGGCUAAAUACGUGCCAGCAGCCGCGGUAAUACGUAUGGUGCAAGCGUUAUCCGGAUUUACUGGGUGUAAAGGGAGCGUAGACGGAGUGGCAAGUCUGAUGUGAAAACCCGGGGCUCAACCCCGGGACUGCAUUGGAAACUGUCAAUCUAGAGUACCGGAGAGGUAAGCGGAAUUCCUAGUGUAGCGGUGAAAUGCGUAGAUAUUAGGAGGAACACCAGUGGCGAAGGCGGCUUACUGGACGGUAACUGACGUUGAGGCUCGAAAGCGUGGGGAGCAAACAGGAUUAGAUACCCUGGUAGUCCACGCCGUAAACGAUG